rnacentral:tRNA from 1 species
AAUAAGAUAAGCUAUAUAAGCUAAUGGGCUCAUACCUCAUAGAAAGUUUUACUUCUUAUUU